ACGAACGCUGGCGGCGUGCCUAAUACAUGCAAGUCGAACGCUUCUUUUUCCACCGGAGCUUGCUCCACCGGAAAAAGAGGAGUGGCGAACGGGUGAGUAACACGUGGGUAACCUGCCCAUCAGAAGGGGAUAACACUUGGAAACAGGUGCUAAUACCGUAUAACAAUCGAAACCGCAUGGUUUUGAUUUGAAAGGCGCUUUCGGGUGUCGCUGAUGGAUGGACCCGCGGUGCAUUAGCUAGUUGGUGAGGUAACGGCUCACCAAGGCGACGAUGCAUAGCCGACCUGAGAGGGUGAUCGGCCACAUUGGGACUGAGACACGGCCCAAACUCCUACGGGAGGCAGCAGUAGGGAAUCUUCGGCAAUGGACGAAAGUCUGACCGAGCAACGCCGCGUGAGUGAAGAAGGUUUUCGGAUCGUAAAACUCUGUUGUUAGAGAAGAACAAGGAUGAGAGUAACUGUUCAUCCCUUGACGGUAUCUAACCAGAAAGCCACGGCUAACUACGUGCCAGCAGCCGCGGUAAUACGUAGGUGGCAAGCGUUGUCCGGAUUUAUUGGGCGUAAAGCGAGCGCAGGCGGUUUCUUAAGUCUGAUGUGAAAGCCCCCGGCUCAACCGGGGAGGGUCAUUGGAAACUGGGAGACUUGAGUGCAGAAGAGGAGAGUGGAAUUCCAUGUUUAGCGGUGAAAUGCGUAGAUAUAUGGAGGAACACCAGUGGCGAAGGCGGCUCUCUGGUCUGUAACUGACGCUGAGGCUCGAAAGCGUGGGGAGCAAACAGGAUUAGAUACCCUGGUAGUCCACGCCGUAAACGAUGAGUGCUAAGUGUUGGAGGGUUUCCGCCCUUCAGUGCUGCAGCUAACGCAUUAAGCACUCCGCCUGGGGAGUACGACCGCAAGGUUGAAACUCAAAGGAAUUGACGGGGGCCCGCACAAGCGGUGGAGCAUGUGGUUUAAUUCGAAGCAACGCGAAGAACCUUACCAGGUCUUGACAUCCUUUGACCACUCUAGAGAUAGAGCUUCCCCUUCGGGGGCAAAGUGACAGGUGGUGCAUGGUUGUCGUCAGCUCGUGUCGUGAGAUGUUGGGUUAAGUCCCGCAACGAGCGCAACCCUUAUUGUUAGUUGCCAUCAUUUAGUUGGGCACUCUAGCAAGACUGCCGGUGACAAACCGGAGGAAGGUGGGGAUGACGUCAAAUCAUCAUGCCCCUUAUGACCUGGGCUACACACGUGCUACAAUGGGAAGUACAACGAGUCGCAAAGUCGCGAGGCUAAGCUAAUCUCUUAAAGCUUCUCUCAGUUCGGAUUGUAGGCUGCAACUCGCCUACAUGAAGCCGGAAUCGCUAGUAAUCGCGGAUCAGCACGCCGCGGUGAAUACGUUCCCGGGCCUUGUACACACCGCCCGUCACACCACGAGAGUUUGUAACACCCGAAGUCGGUGAGGUAACCUUUUGGAGCCAGCCGCCUAAGGUGGGAUAGAUGAUUGGGGUG
rnacentral:rRNA from 1 species